GUUUAAAAAAUUCGUCCAUUUCUACCAUUAAAAACUAUUGUGGUUGAUGGAAUAACCAGACAACCAUAUAUGGCAUGCCACGUGUAGCUCAUGCUAACAUACAAUGACCAAUUUUUAACAGUAAAAUGGAUAAUUUUUUUAACA
rfam:Gossypium raimondii Chr04_contig_859, whole genome shotgun sequence.